CUUAAGAUGCAACCUUUCCCGGGACCAUCCAUGAACGCGGGAUGCUUUGUGCACCGGGAUGCCCUUUUGAACACCUCUUCAUUAAAAUAACUAAAUAAGUUUGGCAUGGCUAAAGUCCAAGGAUAGACAGAGACAAGUAGUGUAUUGUUUUUAUAGUUUAUCUUUAAAAGGUAAAUGACAGAGCAGCAACACCUUUUAGAAUCACACGGUGUAAUACACAUCAAUCUAAAUGACACUGACUAGAAUAUCUUGACCACUUAAACUAUCCAAUUAAGAACUUCAAGCAGCAAUAUCCUAUGUUUGAGCAAACAAAUGACCUUCAAAUUAAGCAAAGUAAACAAGUCUUCAUCCCUUAAAGAUGCAAUGACCUGAGAAAUUUUGGCCAACCAAAAAUUUAAAGCAAAAAAAGAAGAAAAAGAAAAAAAAAUAGAAUAGUCAUAACUUACAAGUAAUGAAUUGUGUUUAUAAUGUGUCCUAUAAAGGUACAGAAAAGAUAUGCAUGUUCCCCAAUCUGAAAGAGGAAGAUUAAAUCAACAGGCUACAGCAACCACUCUCUAGGAAAUCAGGAAAUUUCUUGAACCAAGCCAUUCACUUAGAUUGCAUAGAUGCCAAGUAAAGCCAUCAAUCCCACAAACUAAUAUCCAUUGCGUCUUACUAUAUGCAGUUGGCAAACAUCAAUUUGCUUACCAGCCCCCAAAAAAUGGUUGAGCGUGGAUUGAAAAACAAAGACCUCCCUGAGGAUACUAAAAAUCUACUUGGCAUAUCCUUAUUGAAAGAUCAAAGUGAAAAGAGAAUAAUGUCAUUAAUCUUAUAUCCUAUUUAGCAUUGAUAUAAUAUCCUUGCAACUUUUGCAUGUCUUUGGUAUUGAAUCAACCACAGAUCAAAAUAGAAAGGUGUCAGCUAUAGAAGAAAUUUUCCUUUGGCAGGAGAUAACUUCAAAGGAUCUGGCCAAAAUAAGAGAAGACAGAAAUGCAAGUACAGCCGAGAGAUCAAUCCCCUUCCAACUCGAAACAUUCUAGAGAGUAAGGAAGAAUAAUAUCAUAUAUAGAAGCAAAAUAAACUUUAGACUAUUUGUGCAUUUACUGAGGGAUAAAAUUGAUAUUACAUCCAAAUGACAAGAGUAGGACAUAGCAGCACCGAGUGACAGAUAGACAUGAAAAUGAGAAGAAAGUCCGGCAGGGUCUCCCAAAAGUGAAUUAAUUUACCACUAACAAUCUUUAAGUACACAAGACAAAUAAUAAUGCACCAAAGAGGACUUCUAUGACACUAACAAUAAAAAUAACAAUAUCAUCAAAAGAACUACUUACAGCAUAUGAUUCAGACUUCCUCCAGACUUCACUGUAAUCAAUAUCCUCCAAACUAGGGAGAUGUAGGCGAACUAUCUACUUGAUUCAGACUCAAUCCAGACUGCACUGUAAUCAAUAUUCUCCAAACAAAGGAGAUGUAGGCGACCUAGCCCAACAACAACAACAACAACACCUACCCAGUAAUGUCUCUCAAAGUGGGGUCUGGGGAGGGUAACAUGUAGACGAGCCUUACCCCUACCCUAAAGGGCAGAGAGGCUGUUUCCAGUCGACUCUCGGCUCAGUGAAGGAGAGGAAAAACAAAAACAAAAACAAAAACAAAGGAGCAUUAGUAAGUCCAGCAGAAAUAGCAUAAAUAAAUAUCUAAACAUAAGAACCAUAAAUAAAUAGCAUGCAAUAAUAUCACACAGUAACUACCAUAAAUAGCUAUCAUUAGGGAGACACAGUCACAUACACAAAUCAUCUAUGGAUAGCCCUGCCAAGCCUCACCCAACCCCGGGUGAGGAGCGCGAAAAACUCUAGGAGCCAUACACAAACCAUCUAUGCAUAGCCCUGCCAAGCCUCACCCAACCCCGGGUGAGGAGCGCGAAAAACUCUAGGAACCCCUAUCCUACUUAUACUAGACCUCCAGAAUUUUCUAUCAAGGGCCAUGUCCUCGGAAACUCGCAUUCUAGCCAUGUCAUGCCUAAUCACCUCUCCCNNNN
rnacentral:lncRNA from 1 species